UCCUUGGUGGCUCAGAGGGUAAAGCCUCUGCCUGCAACACGGUAGACCCAAGUUCGAUCCCUGGCUCGGGAA
rnacentral:tRNA from 1 species